UACAUAGGUCCCAAGCGUUGUUCGGAUUCACUGGGCGUAAAGGGUGCGUAGGUGGUCGGGUAAGUCUGAGGUGAAAUCUCCGAGCUCAACUCGGAAACUGCCUUGGAUACUAUCCGGCUUGAGGGUUGGAGGGGGGACUGGAAUUCUCGGUGUAGCAGUGAAAUGCGUAGAUAUCGAGAGGAACACCAGUGGCGAAGGCGAGUCCCUGGACAACUCCUGACGCUGAGGCACGAAAGCUAGGGGAGCAAACAGG
rnacentral:rRNA from 1 species